rnacentral:tRNA from 1 species
AAAAUCCGUCGACUUUAAAAAUCGUGAGGGUUCAAGUCCCUCUAUCCCCACCCCAAAAAGCCUAUUUGAUUCCCCAACCAUUUAUCUUAUCCCU